rnacentral:rRNA from 1 species
UACGUAGGCAGCAAGCGUUGUUCGGAAUUACUGGGCGUAAAGAGUGUGUAGGCGGUGCUCUAAGUUCGGUGUGAAAUCUCCCGGCUUAACUGGGAGGGUGCGCCGGAAACUGGAGUGCUUGAGCGCGGGAGAGGAAAGCGGAAUUCCUGGUGUAGCGGUGAAAUGCGCAGAUAUCAGGAGGAACACCGGUGGCGAAGGCGGGUCUCUGGGCCGAUACUGACGCUGAGGAGCGAAAGCGCGGGGAGCGAACAGG